GCCCCCGUGGGCCAUGGUGGUCGCCUCAAAUCCAUAGAUAAAUUUGGGGAAUUGCUACGAGCCGGAGGUUCGAAUCCUCCCGGGGGCA